GAAGAAGUGAAACACAAUUCUAGAGUAAUAAGAGCAAAAAAAAAAAACAGAAGCUUGCUCAAACAGUUAGCCUACCACUGCUGGUGUUAAUUGGAUAUUUGAUGCAAUAUCAGUAAUGGAAGAUGUGCAGUGUUGCAGAAAACACAGGAAUGCUACUUCGCAUUCAGAAUGUACGCUUGCGAUUCCUUGUGAACAGUGCUCAAAUCUUCACCAGAAAUUCAUCAUGUGUCAGAG